AUACACACCCAUAGUUGUUCGAGAAUCUGCAGCAAGUAUAACGCCAUCUUUAUAACGGAGCGCCGUGAUGGUGGUACCCAUACGAAUUUCUCUACAAAGUCAGAACUUUCAAAAUCAAUUUCCCGCAAUCAUACCCCUUUUUAAUAGCAUUAAUGUCAACAUUCAUAGUAUCUUUCACAGUAGUGGCCAUUUUCAGAAGUUUGGUGAAAGGUUAAAAUGAUUAGGGACUUGUGUAUGGUAUUGAGAAGCAGCCAAAAUUUAGGUAACAUUGCUACCUGCAUAUGAAAUUGCAGUAUGAAUAUAAAAAAUUGUUAUUCAAUUGUAAAAAGUGUUGAAAGAAUUCGUAUAUUUUUUAAGAAAUUCUUUAACGACUAUAGAUAAGGGUAUAGUAUUAAAAAUUUUUGAUCAAAAGUUACAGCCGACUACAGAGUUAUAACCAUGGAUUGAACUUGAAAGUGCUCAGCUAGAAAUUAACAUAGGAAAGAAUGAAAGAAUCUAAAAGUUUGGGACUAAAAAGGUUUCUGAAGAUUUUGUUUUCUUAAUAUUUGACGACUGCUUAUAUUUGGUUUACUUACGCAAAUAACAUGAAAAAAACCAUAGCUAUUGAAGAAUGAAAAUAAUAUGACCAUGAUCUUUUAACAAAAAAUGAAGAUAUUGGAAGUUCGACCUGGAAUGAUGUAUAUAUAUUUACGAGAAUUUCUUACGACGGAUCUUCUAAACUGUGAAUUAGGUAUCAUGUUAUGUUUCAUUUCUAGCGAAGCAGAAUUCCAAGCAAUAUUGAGGUGAUAGGGGAUGUUCCAAAUUCUGUUAAUCGCCAAAUUAAUUUUGGAAUUAAGGCAAGAAGCAUUUCAUUAACUACAGUGUAUUUUGCUUAUUUUAGUAAGGCAGUAUCCCAAAGACAACUGGCUUUCUAAAAAUCUCUUUUGUUUAGGUGUCUGUUAUUUCAACAAUAUGUACAUAUAUAUAUUUAUUUAUAAACUAUUUCAAACAUAUUCAAGCAAUUUAUUGCUUUUUAGAGCGAAUAUCGCCAUGGAUAGCUUAGCGUGAGCUUAAAACAUUGAAUUAAAAAAAUUUUCAUUGCCGUUCCAAAUUGUAUCGCUUUCGCUAAUGCUAUAAACACCCAAAGC